GAUCAUGGCUCAGGAUGAACGCUAGCGACAGGCUUAACACAUGCAAGUCGAGGGGCAGCGAGGGAGUGGCAACACUUCCGUCGGCGACCGGCGCACGGGUGAGUAACGCGUAUGCAACCUGGCCCUUCACAGGGGGAUAACCGGGAGAAAUUCCGACUAAUACCGCAUACGUCCUCCGGGGGCAUCCCCGGGGGAUGAAAGAAUUAUCGGGUGAAGGAUGGGCAUGCGUGAUAUUAGGUAGUUUGGCGGGG
rnacentral:rRNA from 1 species